UACGAGGGGAGCAAGCGUUGUUCGGAUUUACUGGGCGUAAAGGGCGCGUAGGCGGGAUGGCAAGUCGGUCGUGAAAUCCCUCGGCUCAACCGAGGAACGUCGAUCGAUACUGCUGUUCUUGAGGAUUGCAGAGGAGACUGGAAUUCCCGGUGUAGCGGUGAAAUGUGUAGAGAUCGGGAGGAACACCGGUGGCGAAGGCGGGUCUCUGGGCAAUUCCUGACGCUGAGGCGCGAAAGCGUGGGGAGCAAACGGG
rnacentral:rRNA from 1 species